rnacentral:rRNA from 1 species
GACAGAGGGUGCAAACGUUUGUUCGGAAUUACUGGGCGUAAAGCGUGUGGUAGGCGGCUGCGCAAGUCGGAUGUGAAAGCCCCGGGCUCAACCCGGGAAGUGCACCCGAACUGCGUAGCUUGAGUACCGGAGAGGUUGGUGGAAUUCUCGGUGUAGAGGUGAAAUUCGUAGAUAUCGAGAGGAACACCGGUGGCGAAGGCGGCUGACUGGACAUGUAUUGACGCUGAGGUGCGAAAGCGUGGGGAGCAAACAGG